UCAUUAACUGAAUCCAUAGGUUAAUGAGGCGAACCGGGGGAACUGAAACAUCUAAGUACCCCGAGGAAAAGAAAUCAACCGAGAUUCCCCCAGUAGCGGCGAGCGAACGGGGAGGAGCCCAGAGCCUGAAUCAGCAUGUGUGUUAGUGGAAGCGUCUGGAAAGGCGCGCGAUACAGGGUGACAGCCCCGUACACAAAAGCGCAUGUGCUGUGAGCUCGAUGAGUAGGGCGGGACACGUGGUAUCCUGUCUGAAUAUGGGGGGACCAUCCUCCAAGGCUAAAUACUCCUGACUGACCGAUAGUGAACCAGUACCGUGAGGGAAAGGCGAAAAGAACCCCGGCGAGGGGAGUGAAAAAGAACCUGAAACCGUGUACGUACAAGCAGUGGGAGCCCCACCACCAAAGCAUUUGCUGUACCGCGUUGACGGAGCGAAGCGACGUCAAACCGAUAAAACAGCAGUGUAAAGUGAGC
rnacentral:rRNA from 1 species